GGGAAUGAAGGAUAGUGAAGUGGUAAAGAAUCUACUUUGCAUGCAGAAGGUCCCAGGUUCAAUCCCUGGCAUCUCCA